rnacentral:rRNA from 1 species
CCUACGGGUGGCAGCAGUGGGGAAUAUUGCACAAUGGGGGGAACCCUGAUGCAGCGACGCCGCGUGAGUGAAGAAGUAUUUCGGUAUGUAAAGCUCUAUCAGCAGGGAAGAAAAUGACGGUACCUGACUAAGAAGCCCCGGCUAACUACGUUCCAGCAGCCGCGGUAAGACGUAGGGGGAAAGCGUUAUCCGGAUUUACUGGGUGUAAAGGGAGCGCAGACGGCAGUGCAACUCUGGAGUGAAAGGCGGGGGCCCAACCCCCAGACUGCGCUGGAAACUGGAAAGCUGGAGUGCAGGAGAGGUAAGCGGAAUUCCUAGUGUAGCGGUGAAAGGCGUAGAUAUUAGGAGGAACACCAGUGGCGAAGGCGGCUUACUGGACUGCAACUGACGUUGAGGCUCGAAAGCGUGGGGAGCAAACAGGAUUAGAUACCCCUGUAGUC